UGUUAUCCUGUGUCAUUCCAACCCAAUAUAGCAUACUAUGGUGGUUGUUUAGUCCCAUCAUGGAGCGUACAACCUAUUACAACUCAAUCUUGUGUUCCAAGUAAACCUACUUUAGGGAAACAUUCAAGAGAUGGCUUAGAAAAUAACAACAAAGAAAGUGAUAAUAAUAGUGUGUUGAUUCCCAAGACAUUGAGAAUUGAAGACCCUAUUGAGGCUUCAAAGGGUUCUAAUUGGUUAACACUAGGAAUCAAGAAUGGUGGAGGACUUUUCAAUGGAUUUGCAUCUAUGGUUGGUGAUAGGAAUCAUGUGGUUGAAGCAGACUCAUCAGUAUUGAAAGCCAAUCCUGCAGCUUUAUCAAGGUCUUUUGUGUUCCGCGAGAUGAUUUGAUUGUGAAUAUGUUGAACUGACACCUCAGGUUGAAGGCGUGCUCGUACUGAUAUGUAUUAGUGUCCUGUCGAUUCCAUGUCCUGUCUGUGUCUGUGCCAUAGGUAAAUUAUAGUGAGAUAGACUGGUCAGAUUUCAAAAUGUUUCUGAAAUAGAUCAUACGCUAGUAUAGUUGCUUUCUGCUAACUAAGAUUCUUUUCUUUUCUUCUUUAUUCUGAAUCAGAUGACUUUGUUGAGUAAAUAUCUUUGUUGUACAUAUUAUGUAAAUGAGACAGGAUAAAUAACAAGAUGAAUAGACAAAGGAAAGGAGAUUUUUGGACUGAAAUCCAAUGUUUUUUUUUAGAAUAAAUAUCAGGAUAGUGUCAUUGCUAUUGCUUCUUCAGUUCUUAACUACUCUGCAGUAGUAGUAAUAUUGUUGGUUCCAAAAGAUUAUGACAUUUAUUUCAGUUGGGAGUAGUAAUAUUUUUUUCUUUUUACUAAUCAAACCACAUGCAUGAUCACUACCACAAAGCACAAAAAGAAGGGGAAUCAAUGCUAUUCCUGUUAGAAAAAUAUAAACCUUUCUUUGAAAAAAUGAGAAGCUGUUAUGAUUAAUCUGAGGUCGCCAAGAAAAUCUUAUUUGUGAGACAUACAAAAAUUAUGGAGGACAAGCCUUGCGUCAACGUUGCCAAUCACCCUAGCAUUCCAAAAGAGAAUCUUCAGCACAAGGAGGUGGAUGAUCCGCCCUUGUUGCGGGUUCUGUAAUGCUCAGCAUCCUUUACAUGCCACUACCGUUGUUUUUCUCUUAUGUGCUUUGAAUCUGACUACCUAGCAAACAACAAAUUUAUGCUAAAUUCAAGUCUUUCCUAACUAGCUCAGUCAAUUCAUCAUCAUGUGAAGAGAUUCCUCAAAAUUAACUUGAACAUAAAAAAAGGUUCACAAUCAGGCUAUUAGGCUCCUCUGGAUCCUGAACAUCGUUUGUUGUCUCAGCAACAGAGUCAACCCGGGACUUAUAACCAACAACCAGAAGUUUACUGCUAACCGGUUCACAAUUGUGCUUCCAACCAGAAUUCUAUCUUCCGGAGACGAACCAUUUACUUUCUCUUCCUCUACUAUUGCCUUAUUAUCUCUUGAUCCUUGAUUUUAGGCACAUAAACACUUUGUUUAGGCUUGAUAUGCUCCUUUCUACAAAGAAAACACAUCCCUCUCUUUCUACAAAGAUUUUAUCAAGAUGAUUAGAAAAAAUAUCACGAUCCAAAAUUAGAGCAAAAUGGCUAUAAGCCUCAUCAAUUGCUAAUUUGCUAUUGGUCUCUGGAUGCCACCCACAAUAGCAAAAAGGAAUUUAGGCCUCCAAUAUUUCAAUGGCCAAUCAGAAAGCCAUACUUGACACUGCGAGUGAGUUAGCUUUAUAUUGUUAUAGUCAAAAUUUGAUGUCCAUGAGAAUAAACGCAAAGUACCAGGAUUGAACGACCAAGAAUCUACUGUGCUCACACCGAGCCUGUCUUCCAAGGACAAAUAACUAAAUUCAAAGAAUACUUUGGCAAGGUUAAUAAUCAUCCAAGAAUUCAAGGGUUUCCGAAUUUGCGAUAGGGUGUGGCGCAAGUCAAGAAGCUCAGGAGGCAUGCUUACAUAUAAGAAUGACCAAAAGACCGUGCUUAUUGUUAUUACACCCUGCAAGUCCUUCCUGAUUAUUACAACCCUACACCCGUGCAAGGAGUUGAGAGUUGGUUAAGAUUUAUAUCGCAUGAAUUGUUUAGUGCUUGAGCGAACAUUUUAUGCAUACGGGUGGGAUCAAUAUUUUGAGAAGGGACCACUACAUCAGAAAUUAAGGGGACAUCCCCGCUGGGUUUUGUUGCAAGAAAAUCCUAGGACAGUGUGGAUCGCGAACCGACUUGGAGGCGUUCAACCCCUAGGCGCAUGUGUCAGAAAUGAAAUUAUAUUUCAAUAGUUUCACUUAUACCUUAAUACUUUUUAUAAUAAAGUUUAACAUAUUCAACUCAACAUUGCUUACCUUAAUAUGAAAACUGAUGACAACAUACACAGUUAUUUUGUUAGUUUUUUUUUUUUAUAAACUAUGGUAUCUACCGCAUGCAACUGCAACUGUGAAACUCAUCCUUCGAGAUAACUAAUAUCUACUUAAGGGAUUAAUCUAUCCUAACAAAUUUUUUACCAUUCACACGGGCUACAGAUCGAACUUUCGACCAAAUAGCUAAAUGAUCCAUGUAUCUUAAGAUGACUUUCUGAAUAUAUAUAAUAAUAUAUUUUAGUUAUUCUAUCUAAAACUGUCUUAUAAUUGAUUUGCAAAAGGGCUGAAUAUAUGUAAUUUUUUUUUUUUUUGCUAAGCCAGGAGCAAUGACAGACGUCAAGGGGAAGCGACGACAUCCAAACUAGGUUGGCACCUCGAGGAAAAUUAAUUGGUAGGAUGGUAAUUGCAGCAAUUGCCUGAUGGAACUAGUUUAUUUCAUGUCCCACAACCUUUUUAUGGUAAUAGCUUUUUUUUGUCCAAUGCAGGGUCUGUGUACAAUAGUGUAGAUUUUUGUAAGAGAUUGUGUGGUGUUUCCAUUAUCAGGAGGUUUCUGUCUUUUACAAAGUAUAAAUCAUCUGAAUGAUAAAAUAUUGGCAUGAUUGGUUGAAUAUAUUGUCUAGAAAUUUCUCUUAAUCUUCCUUAAACAACUCCAUAAAUAAAUGGAUGAUCUUUUAUCAAUUUGGAUUUGAAACUACCAUAUUGUUUUCCUUGAAAUUAUCAUUCAUGUUUAUCCUCAACUAUAUGACAUAAGAGACUAGUUAUUUUUCCCUUCUACUCACUUUGAUGAGAUCCUAAGAGCACUAUAGUUUUUUUUUUCUUCUAAAUUUAUUUCUUAGAAAAACUCCACAAUCUGUUAUAUAUGUAACAUUUCUACAACUCCCCUUUGCGACACUUUCUAGAACUUUUCAAAAAUUAUAUAUGUAACAUUUUUUAGUGUUACUGGCCAUACAAAAAAGUGUUACAAAAAUAUAUAAAUAUGUAACAAUUUUUAACUGUUACUGAUAAUACUAUUAAAUGUUACUAAAUUUAAUUAGUAACAUUUUUCUUAAUUUAGUUACAAUUUUCAAUUGUUACUAAAUCUCAAUUAUUUUGUAGUGCAUCCACUUAUUUCACAUCACAUUGCUUUCACUCUAUUCUUUCAAGAGGAUAACGUUCCUUUGAAUAAAAAAGACUUCAAAGGGGGAAGAAAAUUGAGAGUGAAUCCUGAACUAAUGAUAUGCUUUAAAUGAUGAUGUAGCAUAUAAUAAAAUGAAAUGGAAUAAAGAAUCUAACCAUAGACAAUACCAAAUAAAGGAAGGAACUGAGAAAAAGGCAAAGUUGAAAAAGGAGGUGACAUGGAUGAAAAAGGGUAGGACAGAAAAGAAAAACACUAUCUUUACAAUUACGUGGGUGAAUCCAGCUGCACACUAAGAUCUCACAGCCACAGCAAUUUGUGGCUCACAAAACUUCCACUUUUCUGAUGUGGCAUUGCUUUCCAACUUUUUGACCUUUAUAAAACUUCUUCACAUAAACACAUAAACCAUAGUACCUCCCUCUCUCUCUCUUUCUCUCCUUUUCUUCAGUAUCAAGUAAACAGAACAAAAAAACAACAAAAACUUCUUCAACAUAUAUACCAGAGAGAUGACUAAUGAUUCAACCAUAAAGCUUUUCGGGAGAACAAUUUUUCAAACACGCAACACCGACGAUUAUUCCUCGGAGUUUUCUCCUCCUCUUGGUCAUGAAGAUUUCUCUGAUCAUAGUCUUCAUUCAUCUUUAUCUUCAUCUUCAUCUUCUCCAAACGAACAUGAUUCAAAGAGAUAUAAGGUAUGUGUCAUGCAAUUUUUCAUCCUUUUUGUUUUAAAAUUAAUUACUUCUAGUUAGGUGUAUGCAAAUAUGUAAUUAAAUUAGUUUUUGGAUUUCAUGAUGGCAGAUGCUUGAUGAAAUUGUUCACUUUUCUCAUUUUUUAUAUUUAUUUAAAAGUUUAAUUUUGACAGUGUCUGUAAAACCGUUAAUAAUUCACAAUAAAUCAUUUGUACAACUUUUCAAGUAAUUAUGAUUAUAGGAACUUCAUAAAAGUCCAUCCAUUCAAGAAUAACCAAUAAUAUUUUGCUUUUGGAGUUUUCAAGUUUUUCCAAUUCAUAUGUUGAAGUCUAUAGUCCUAAAAUGGUUUGAUUUGCAACUUCAACACAACUUUGAGUUUAUUUAUUAUUGGAUCUCAUAGGCCAGCUUCAAACUUUUAAUUUAAUACCUUCAUGAAUCAGUUACUCUAUACUUUCAAUUCAUGAAAAAUAUUUAACUUUGUGGUUCAUAUUUUGGUCUUACCUAAUCUAAUUAUUGUUUAUCAAUUUCAGGAAUCAUCAAGGAAAGAACCCACCUCAGUACUUGAUUAUGAAGAAGCCUCAAAACAAACCACAGAGGAUUUAAACACUCCCACCACAUCAGAAACAAAAACUUCUCAACUGAAUUCAACUAAAGUUGAUGAACAAAGUGAUAUUUCCCAGGACAAAGCUCCAAACAAAUUUCUUCCAUGUCCAAGAUGCAAAAGCGUAGACACAAAAUUUUGUUACUACAAUAAUUACAACGCCAACCAGCCCCGACACUUCUGCAAAAACUGUCAGAGAUAUUGGACUGCCGGAGGAACCACUAGAAGUAUGCUUGUAGGUGCAGGUCGCCGCAAGAACAAAAUCUCUUCUUUUUCUUCCGAUGCCUCACAUAAUCGUCAAAUGAGUACUGUCUUGACCUUUGGAUCAGAUUCUCCUGUUAUGUCUUCAACUUCACUUGCCACGAAAAUGAAUGUUGGAUCAGAUGAUGAAAUAUCUGAUAAGAGUAAUCAGUGUUUUUUUCCACAACAGUUUCCAUGGAACCCAGCAAUGUGUUAUCCUGUGUCAUUCCAACCCAAUAUAGCUUACUAUGGUGGUUGUUUAGUCCCAUCAUGGAGCGUACAACCUAUCACAACUCAAUCUCGUGUUCCAAGUAAACCUACUUUAGGGAAACAUUCAAGAGAUGACUUAGAAAAUAACGAGAAAGAAAGUGAUAAUAAUAGUGUGUUGAUUCCCAAGACAUUGAGAAUUGAAGACCCUAAUGAAGCUGCAAAGGGUUCUAAUUGGUUAACACUAGGAAUC
rnacentral:lncRNA from 1 species